rnacentral:lncRNA from 1 species
AGGACUUUUACUGUCUGUGCGGGGGAUGUAAGGAAGGUGACAGGGGGUCUUCUGGUGGUGGGGCAGAAGGGGUUGUAGACAUGACAUAUAGUUGGUAAUCUGGUGACGACUGAACACGUAAGGCACCUAUGAUCAUGUGAUUGAUGCCUUUUUUGAUGCAGGGGGCCACACAGCAGCAGACCACCCCCAACAGAGUCAGGAUGAGAAGGAAGGGAGUCACCAGACGAAAGAGUAGUUGUUGCCAGGUUCCUUGGAAAAACCAAUCCCACCACGAGGCUGCGGGGGUUUCGUCUGCAGUCAUGGCACCUUCCAGGUUCCUCAGCGACUGGAGGGAGUCCUCGAUGGAUUCUGAGCUGUUGUUGGGAAUGUACGUACAACAGGUUUGUAAACACUGAGGUAAGACUACGGGUGGUGUGGGAUAACUUCCACCCCACCGUUCCUACUGUUGCAGUAUGUAAAGGUACGUUCUCCCACGAUUGAUGCCACACCCCAUGUUUCUCCUGUGUUUGUAUAUACCAUUCAUAGUCCUGGUAGGAAUCACCCCACAGCCUACCACCACUAUGGCUUUGGAUCGUGAGACUCUUAAAAGGGAUGUCAAUUUUUACCACACGGUUGGGAUCAACGGAGAGGGGGACGCAGUACACAGCACCAAACGCAAGUGUUGUGGGGCAGCGGCCUAAAUAUGGUCCCCAUGGCUGAGCUAUGAGGCCUCCAUUGCAGCUGAUGACCAACAGGAAUCCCAAGAGGAGAUGGAGUGGUCCCAUACUUAUGGUUCAGGAGUUGUAUCUGGGGGAGAGGGUUUUUGUACCUUUUUCCCGUGUGACUGGUGUAUCCAGGUGUCCCUUUCAGCUAUCUUAAACGCAGUGGGUGUGGUCAGCAAUACCGUGUAAGGACCAUCCCAACGAGGCGUACACCAGUGUUUUCUCUUUAUCACCUUCACCAAUACCCAGUCACCAGGACGCAGGAGAUCUGAAACAGGCAAGGGAGAACUGGGCAGAUUAUUUGCAUUAACAACAGUUCUAUCUUCAAACAGUUUUAGCAUCCAUUUUGUGAUGAGAUCUAGUUCCCCCUCAUUCUCCUGCACCCAUACCGACUGUGUGAUGGGGAGGUGAAAAGGUCUCCCCGUAACUGUUUCAAAAGGGGUCAGACCUUGUGGAGUGGGCGUGAUGC